UUGACAAGCACGCGUGUCGAUGGUCGCGCGAUACCGCUAAAAACUUGGCCGGGUGCACAUGCGAGGAGCAUUUAAAUACUGUCACCAUUGUGCAACCCCCUGAGUCGCAUUUGUUUCAAGCUUUGAAGUGGAUCGGCCAAGGUUACUUGGACUGGCUGCCUAGAUAAGCUUGUGGCCAGCAGGAGCCAUAGCCACAGCUACAGCUUUAGCCCUACAACCACAAAGAAGAGGCUGGAAUUCAGGCCGGGUCAAGUCAACAUUGUGAAGGCAUUUGGGAUCCUGCCAUCCUCGUCGUCUAUGAUUAAGAGCCAGCACCAAGUUUGUGAUGCGAAGUGAAUAAAUACUGCAUGUUUCUUCCCCUUUCAUCGCACUGUCUUCGAGUUCCAU